rnacentral:lncRNA from 1 species
GUAUUCUCACCUGCGUCGAUGCCACGUGCAUGACGCCACGACCGCGGCUGCCACAGCCUGGCCUCUCCUACAAGUAAAAAAGUAAAUCACACCAAAAUCAACACAAAAGGCACACCAAAUCAAGUUGAGAAGUGAGAGUGCAAGGGAUUCAUCGUACCUGCUCCGAGUAGGUCGAGACGCAAUAGUAAAUCCCACCGGCUGCCUUCAUGUCCGUUCAUGAUUGGAACAGGCAUGUUUCAGCCAGCUCGAGGUGCACUUACCAAGGUUGCAAAUUACAUGAUUUACGUAUAUAUAUUGUGAGAAGAAAACCCAAAAAAACGAUUGCAUGUAUUUUUAGCGAAGUGUGCUUCUGAACCACAGCUUGGAAUUGUGUAAUCACGACAUGACAUCAUGAUUCCCCAAAACAAUUCAGACCAUAGUUAGCACAGUAUGGACACCUAAAUCUUGAACAUUCUAAAAUAAUUACAAUAUCCUCAUUUUUCUCUAUUUAUACCAGAAAUUAAGAAGAACCGCAAGCAAUCAUCAGGAAAUACCAAAUCUAGGGGUUACAGAAAGUCAAAGUGUUCCCAUCAAACUGUGGAGAACACUAAUGUUCUAUCUUGUUUUUAAUCAAAACUAAUGUUCUACCCGGGAAGAAAAAUGACAGAUGCAACUCACGCAGAUGACCAGGCCUAGGUAAUUUAUAGCAGAUGUCCACCCGUGAGUCCUUUUUCUGCGGAUUAAAAGAAACACUUGCAAGUUGUUAAACCAAAAACAGUGAAUAUAGCAUGCAAGUAAUAAUCAGAAUAUUAUUCAGCUUCCAUUUCCAUGAAUCAAUCAGAGAUAAAGUUGAUCUUUAUUUGACAUUCAAUCAAACAGUCCCAAUCAAAUUUAAUUUGGGGCAGGGUAGAAAGAUGCAAGUCAUAAUAGGGAGAAAAGCUAUCAAGAAUGCCAUGCUGCUUGUUGCGACAAAUUUACCAUGUUACACCUUUUCGUGGAAGGGUCAAAAGAUCUGGAUGCGCUUAUCUGAAAUUCUUAAAUGAUCAGUUCAAACAAAUUAUAGAGCCAAAGCAAUUCAAAAUUUAGCAUUAUGAAGGAAAGGCUCGUGAUUAGUAUGCAAAUACGAAAGGCACAAGAUUACUACGAAGUAGGAUGACUGUCUGCCAAAGGCAAAAAUAACUCAGUUUUAUGCUUUUCUAAACUAAAGCAGAAACGACCGUACAAUUGCAGGAGAAAAAUUGAUGUAUGCUUUUUCUAACCUCAGCAGUAACGAACAGACAAUUGCGGCAAACAGGCUUGGGCAUCACAAUCGAGAACAUCUAUCACCAGCAUACCGCACCGAUUGCGACACCUCAUGUUGUCAAUCUACACUCUGAAAUAUGUCUACAUACAUCCGUAUGUCAUAGUUCAUUUGAAAUGUCAAGAAAGACAAAUAUUUGGAAACGGAUGGAGUAAUAGAUAACUUAUGUGCCCCAUAAAAGGAUACCAAACGCCGUGUGAGAGAUAAGAAUUCAGGGUGACAUCUGUCUAUACAAUUAGUUUUCAAGGCAAACUUUUGCACCAAGAUUGUGACAUAGUCACAUUCCAUCGAAUGAACAUGUGAUGCUGACCGAAGACUUGAUCAACUGUUUAAAUAUGCCUAUGAUAAAAAAUAGUUUAUUCAAAGCACAUUUAUCUAAGAAUGUAGUACGAUUUGUUUAAAGUCAAAAAUGAGAGAUUUGGUUACAUCCUAAAUUAUCAUAUAUAUUGAGGAAUAAAUUUCAUCAACUCAUGAUCUAAAAUGAAAGGACUUCUUAUUAGUGGCAUAAAGUCGUGAGAAAGCCAUGUUAUAUGCACUCUAUUAUGUGUUGGAGCACAUGUGUGCUCGUUAUCCCUCCCAUCAAGUUGCCCCGGGAUUUACAGCCCAACACGCAUAGGCCACUAAUAAUCUAUGUAUGCUUCUUUUGAACAGUGAAUAUGGCCCACAUCUGAAGUCCAUGAAACAUGACUAUGUGAGGCACUUUCACACCGGAUCGAAUGUCAGACCACCAUAUGGGUCGUCCAAGACGAGAUUCUGGACUAACAGAGUCAUUUUCGAGUCGAUUUAUUAUGUCUGACUCAUGCAUGUGGCUUCCCUUCCCCUACACAACUAAAGCUCGUCCCUCACUGGCUAAAGCGAACUCCACCUAGAUCCACCAUUCCCCCGCAGUCAAUUCUUCCUCAUCAGCCAUUCCCGAAGACAUCUUGCCGCUCAUUCCUGGCUUCGAUUGCGGAGAGCAGAUCAUAACAUAGAUUGCCCAUAGUGUGGCAAAUGUCGGCAAUCUGCCCCCGGUCACCUGCAACCACAAGAGUCCCUUUAGUAUGAAUCAGAUUCACACCAUAACCAUUUGCAACAAUCUAGUCCUCUAAUACAAGCCCAUCAUAAUUCUCAAUAGUCAUUAAAAUAUGGAAUCAAAACAGCUAACAAUCUAUCAUGUAUCCAAAAUUGACACCUAUGCUUAUCAUACAUGCCGGAGAAAAAUAGCUACAAUGUUGCUGUCAAGAUAACAUUUUGGAAGCAUUUUCUCUCAAAUAAGUAUUAAUAGAUCAGACACUGACAAAAUGAUUAUGGUAGUGUAAACCAAACGAAAUGACAUGGCCCACACACCAAUCUAUUCAGGAGUGUUACAUUAAUCCAACAAUUUGUUCAGCGCAUGGUAGCUAUAUAAAUAAUCCAGAUAUCAUUCGUGUUGACAGAAAUUAGCAAUGCUCCCAAGUACAUACAAAAUUGUCGAGAGAGAAUUUCCUAGCAUGCUGAGUUUCCAAAGACUGGACUUCUUAAUAAUGACACACCUUCGUGUCCAUGCAGGAGCUUUAGGGUCGAUCAGGCCAUAGAUUUCUUCGAUGUUGGCGACGAAUCUUCCGUUCAAGCUUCCGUUGCCCCUCCACCACACAUAUUUGCGCGUCUCCACUCACUCCCCUCAUAGGCGGCCGCUGCUCGACAUGUUGAGCCACUCAUGGCUGUCUCCACUCACUCCCCUCAUAGGAAUAGUGAACCGUAAAAAUAUUUUCAGAGUAUUAGGCUUGUAUCAUGAAUUAUGUUCGCUUCUAUCAAUGCUUCAAGACGCAAAGCUUUUUGUGUUUGCUAAGAAAACUAAGCAAAUAUGAAGGUAAAAGGAAAUCAUCAAUAUAAUUCCGCAAAAACUACUACAUGGAACGGACAUGAAAUGUUGCGGAAAUUGCUGAAUCUUGCUUUUCUGGAACAACGAUAUAGAGUGUUCACUACUGACUUGCACAUACUUUGCAAUCAGAAAAAAGCUUCAUCAAUUAUGUAGACGCGGUGAAAGGGAAUACAACAUACAAAAUCUAGAUACAGAAUUCAAGAUAAUAAAGCUAGAUGGAGCUAACACGACACAAUAUGCUUCAUCGUUUAGCGGGUACUCCCAUGCAUAUACUAAAUCAUAUAGACAUACACUUCAACCAUCAGAACUAUGCCAGAACUGGAACUGGUUUGUUCUUACAUGUCAUUUCCAGUGAGAAAAGGGGGAUGCUAUACAUUCCAAGUCGCAAAAAUUGUCUUAAAAUUAUAAGAAGCAAACUAAAAAUUAUAAAUAAUCAGAAGAAGUGCUCCCGCUGAGCGAAAACACAUUGCAUCUGAACAAUGCAAAGCAACUGCAGCACAUAAGCUAGCACCUUAUUCAUGCUUUAAAGGUGUACAGUUUGACCACCUACUUGUAGCUACUAUACACAUUCACAAGACAUUAGGCCUUUCAUGUAAUAUUUUUCUAGGCAAGAAAACAUUGCUAUAUGACGUAACUCGUAGUAGUAGGUAAAUUCACAAACUGUGUAUGUUGUAUCAAUGACUCUGCUGUAAUCAAACUUUGAAGCUACAAUCAGAUAAAGGAAUAAUAUGAACUUCAGUUAACUGAUGUAAAAUAACAAAAAGAGGCAUGUCUAAAGAACACAAUGGAAGAAUAGAAAAAUGCAUGUAGAAGAUUACACAUGAUCUAAUCAUAUACCUUGCCACCCAAAAUUUUGCCUUUGUCGUAUCAAUGAGUUUGCUGUAAAUGAGGAAGUAGUAAUUUUUGCACGUACUCUAGGUGUUUUGUCAUCGGUUGAACGACAAGCUUCUUCAUUUUUGGAAACUACACGAACAAGACAAAACAUUUGUUCACAGUAAGUUAGUAACCCUAAAGGAUCUACUUACUCGGAGAAAUUCAUAAGAACAAACUGCAUAUACAGUAAAACACAACGAGCUCUGAAUCAAAGUAUAACUAUUUGAAAAUCUUUGGAGAAGAUCAAACAAUACAUCAUUGCAUCACUACUCGGGGUCACUAACGGAGGCGCCAAUUCCUUCGAGCUGGGGAAAGGGGAAUUGAAGGUGCUCGGCAGAACUGGAAGGGGGAGAAAUGAAAACCUCAAACACUACCAUUUGAAGAGCAGAGGAUAUAUAUUUAGGCACUCACAGAAAUAAUCAUCGGAGGUCCUGUACAGAUACAAGUAGGUGGUGGCAUCGCCGUCUUAGCUCGGUUGUCCAAGCAACACAGAAUGUCCUGAUCACCACACAGUUGAAAUUGAAAGUGUUUGCAACUCUGCAAAUUAUAUACAUAUCCAACGAUUUAGUUGGGAGUUUAUUCUGCACCAUUUGUGAAAACACACACUCACAAGCAAUUCGUUGAGUAGACACCAUGAAAUAAAAUUAUAUUGUGAAAAAUACUAUUUAUCAAACAGGUGAAACAAACUAAUCAGGUGCAUCUCCGUAAGCAAAGAAAAAGGCAGACCAAAAUCUAUAGGAUAUGAGACAUAUAUAUCUCUUUGUUUAUAUAUAGACACACACACACACGUCAUAAUACCUUGACUUUCUUCCAGAGACUAAACAUUGGUUUGUGGACUAAAAACUCAGAGAAAAAAUUACCAGAAUGGGUAAAUGAGUAAUGGAGCAAACAUGCACAUUACUGAGAGAGAACACAUGUCCAGUGCAUACAGUUAUAAACAACCAUACUUAUAUAAUUUCCAUGUGGGAGAAGUAUAUUAGGUUAUGAAAGCAAGCGCCGUCGUUCGUGAUUUUAACGCACACGACUGAUGUCAUGUCACAAUGGUGCCAACCGGCUUGCCCAUGACACAGCUAGAUUCUGUCACCUCAAUCUUUGUAAUCUCAUCAUCUUAGGACAUGCCACAUCUUGCAAUGUUGUGAGUAGAUGACAGAUAAGAUGUAGCAGUGUAUAAUGGAAUUAGGGGUGGAUCAGCAACCUGACAUGCGCGGGGGAGGUACUCUGCCCGCCACUUCCCAUCCCUAGAGGGGGCGUGGAGGGUCGGCUACCAUCACCUUGACGCUCGGCCCACGAGACUACCAUAGAUGUAUUCUCACCUGCGUCGAUGCCACGUGCAUGACGCCACGACCGCGGCUGCCACAGCCUGGCCUCUCCUACAAGUAAAAAAGUAAAUCACACCAAAAUCAACACAAAAGGCACACCAAAUCAAGUUGAGAAGUGAGAGUGCAAGGGAUUCAUCGUACCUGCUCCGAGUAGGUCGAGACGCAAUAGUAAAUCCCACCGGUGCCUUCAUGUCCGUUCAUGACUGGAACAGGCAUGUUUCAGCCAGCUCGAGGUGCACUUACCAAGGUUGCAAAUUACAUGAUUUACGUAUAUAUAUUGUGAGAAGAAAACCCAAAAAAAACGAUUGCAUGUAUUUUUAGCGAAGUGUGCUUCUGAACCACAGCUUGGAAUUGUGUAAUCACGACAUGACAUCAUGAUUCCCCAAAACAAUUCAGACCAUAGUUAGCACAGUAUGGACACCUAAAUCUUGAACAUUCUAAAAUAAUUACAAUAUCCUCAUUUUUCUCUAUUUAUACCAGAAAGUAAGAAGAACCGCAAGCAAUCAUCAGGAAAUACCAAAUCUAGGGGUUACAGAAAGUCAAAGUGUUCCCAUCAAACUGUGGAGAACACUAAUGUUCUAUCUUGUUUUUAAUCAAAACUAAUGUUCUACCUGGGAAGAAAAAUGACAGAUGCAACUCACGCAGAUGACCAGGCCUAGGUAAUUUAUAGCAGAUGUCCACCCGUGAGUCCUUUUUCUGCGGAUUAAAAGAAACACUUGCAAGUUGUUAAACCAAAAACAGUGAAUAUAGCAUGCAAGUAAUAAUCAGAAUAUUAUUCAGCUUCCAUUUCCAUGAAUCAAUCAGAGAUAAAGUUGAUCUUUAUUUGACAUUCAAUCAAACAGUCCCAAUCAAAUUUAAUUUGGGGCAGGGUAGAAAGAUGCAAGUCAUAAUAGGAAGAAAAGCUAUCAAGAAUGCCAUGCUGCUUGUUGCGACAAAUUUACCAUGUUACACCUUUUCGUGGAAGGGUCAAAAGAUCUGGAUGCGCUUAUCUGAAAUUCUUAAAUGAUCAGUUCAAACAAAUUAUAGAGCCAAAGCAAUUCAAAAUUUAGCAUUAUGAAGGAAAGGCUCGUGAUUAGUAUGCAAAUACGAAAGGCACAAGAUUACUACGAAGUAGGAUGACUGUCUGCCAAAGGCAAAAAUAACUCAGUUUUAUGCUUUUCUAAACUAAAGCAGAAACGACCGUACAAUUGCAGGAGAAAAAUUGAUGUAUGCCUUUUCUAACCUCAGCAGUAACGAACACACAAUUGCGGCAGACAGGCUUGGGCAUCACAAUCGAGAACAUCUAUCACCAGCAUACCGCACCGAUUGCGACACCUCAUGUUGUCAUGCACGCAGUAGCAGACCUAGCAGCACAGAUCAAAGAGUAUUAUAUAAAACUGUAGCAAUUCAUAUGUAAACCAUUAUUUUUCAAUCACACACACAAAUAACUAAAUUGAAUCGAUAACAAACUUACAAAAUAUAGCUGACACCACUAAUGUAGUAGGCUACUCAAUGCCACAAUAAACAAAACCAAUCAACCAGGUACUCAAGUAGCAUUAUUUACAACAGUAGUGACUUCAGAUUCAAAAGGUGUAGAUAGAAUGAACAAGCUUAAUAUCUAGUCUUUCUUGUAGUCUAACCUCACCCGACAUUGAUGCUAGAUAGAUGGAAUUGCACAUGUUUAAACUUGGUUCUCCUAGGGCGUGUUUGGUUGCCUGGGUGGCUUUCUGCUGCAUUGCAUGGAGGAUCCAGGGUGAGGACGGCCAGGUUGAGGCGAUGCAAAGUUCCAUCGAGAUGGCUGUUUGGUGAACUUGCAUCAUAUGGCUGCACGAGCUGCAAUUUUGUCCGAGUGUCGCUGAAAUUGAUGCGGAAGAGGAGCACGCAUCAUCGCGGGCGACGGGAUCCAGGUCUCGACAGCUCCGGACAGUGGGAUCCUCGCUCUCGGCGGCACGGGAGGCAGGAUCUGGCGUGCGGCGGCAGCGCUUGGUUGAGGACGGCGAUGACCCUUGCUGAGAUGCAUCGUUCUUCGGUCCUGAUGUUGGCGGCGUUCUUCCUCGGCGGUUGGACUUCGAGGAAGCUGUAUUGCUUGCGUCCAUGGCCGGCGACUGAGCGUAGAAGGGAGUUGGGCGUGGCGUGGAUCAGAGGAGAGCCCAAGGGGUCGUGUGGAGGCGCUCGCCGUCGUGGAGGCGCGUGGAGGCCAGCGGCCGGCGGCGGGGUGGGCUCGAGUUGCGGGAGGGCCGGUCGAUGGGGUCAUGGGGAGGCGGGGAGGAGUGGCGGCGGCGCUUGGGAAGAGACGGAAGGGAGACGAGAGAAAACGAGCGAGCGAGCGAGCCUGCAUCCGAGAUACGCUCGAAUCCUGCGUAUCCCUCAGCCUGGCUGAGAGGCCCCUUUUUGCACCCACCGGGCCAGACUGAAGGGCCCAUGCAGUUUACCAAACGACCCAAAUUUUGCAUGGUGGAUGCGAGCCACAUGCAACGCAGGGAUCCAAACACGCCCCUAGUAUCGAAAAUCUCCACAUGCAUCAACUAAUUAAUCAGUGGCAAAAAGGAGCUUUCGAUGGAAGAGAAAGAAAUAAAAACCCUGCAGAAAAUUGACUGUUGGCAGCAGUGGACGGGAACGACCAACAAUAAAACAACAGAAGCUUGUUUAGUUAGCCUGUGUACCAUGACCUGGCUCAUCAUAAUAACAUCUUCUGCAGUCAAGGAAAGCAAAUCAAAACCCUAUGUGUACCAUGAGGUGCAUACAUCACAUCUCUGCACACAAAGAAAAAAAAAUCACCAGAUCAUUCAGCAACAGGGUGACAAACACAGACAGAAGAAAGAAGAAAUCCAUAAACAGAGAAGCUGAACCAAUCUCUGCAAAAAUGAAAAGAAAAAAUGUGCACACACACGCACAUAUCAGCCAGUUCUAGCAUGCAUCGAUCCAUCAAAGCAUUAAGCCAUCAGCCACCCAUUAGAGAAGUUAAAAAUGAAAGGAUUCAAACUUACGCAUCAAUCCAUCUAAGCAUCAGGCCAAAGGCAGCGGGAGCGAAGUGCUCUGAUGAAUCCGCUUUGCACAGCUCUGAUUCCCUUGCGCAUCUCGGCGGCGACGCAACCCCGGCCCCUUCACUCACCUCUACUGCGGCGCUAACCUGACCCCCUUUCUCUAUCUUGUCCCUCCUCACGUCGCCCCUGAUCGACAUCCAGACAAAGGGCGCACAUAGCUUGGGCCCGAGCUGUGCGUGGCAGUGGAUCCACGGCGGCGGCGGCGGCGUCCUGGGGAUGCUGAUCCAUGACGGGUGAUGUAUCCUAGGCUAGGCGGGAGAGAUUGCUCUUGCUUUACACAUUGAGAGAGACAGACACAAGGGCUUGAUUCGUUCCUCACAUGCAGCCUAGGCGGGAGGAUUAGAUAGCUGUUGUUGCUGUUAUUUUCAAACUCCCAUCAAGUGUUGUGUAGACUGCUAGUGAGAUUUAAUCACACUGCGUAUAUAUGCUCAACCAAACAUGCAGGCCAGUUCAAGAUGGAUUAUUCGCCAGUUUAUCCUCAUCCUAGAUCCAUCACUACCACUAAUCGACACAUCAGCAAGCUGCAGUUUUGGUAGGGAGGGGAAAGGAAGGAGGAGGAGGCGUACCUUGGGCGUACAGGUCCUGCAGCCCGACGGGAGGGAGAUGCUGCAGAUGUCGCCGGGUCGAGGUCCACCGCCGCAACAAGCACCCCCAUACGCCUUGCCCCAACACCGAGAGAAGGGGUUGGAUCCCGAUGCUGACGGCUAGGCUAGGGUUCGUCGCCGGCCUCCAUCCGGAUGUUGCGGGUGCGGAUCCGGCGCCGUCGUCGCCGUAACAGAUCCAUGGCCAUCUCCACGCCCCCAUCAUCAGGAUCCUCGUGAUCCACGACGGCCGCGUCUGCCCGAAUCGGCGUUGGCGGAUGCGGCUGCGAGAUCGCACGAGAGGACGGCGGCUCUGUGUCGUCGAGGGGAUCGAUAGGUAGCGCCGGAAGUGAGGGAGAAGGUGGGGCGGGGCGACGCCAGGAUCGCAGGAGGAGAUGGGGGGCGGGCGGCGCCGGGAGCCAGGGAGGAGGACGGGGCUGGCGGCGUCGGGCGGUGGCGACGGGAUAGGCCUCGCUCGUGCGUGCGAGUCGCCUGAUUUUUUG